UUUUGAUUGUUGCUCAGAAA
rnacentral:miRNA from 7 species